rnacentral:rRNA from 1 species
CAGGUCUUGACAUCUGAAUGACCGUCCUAGAGAUAGGGCUUUCCUUCGGGACAUUCAAGACAGGUGGUGCAUGGUUGUCGUCAGCUCGUGUCGUGAGAUGUUGGGUUAAGUCCCGCAACGAGCGCAACCCUUAACUUUAGUUGCCAGCAUUCAGUUGGGCACUCUAGAGUGACUGCCGGUGACAAACCGGAGGAAGGUGGGGAUGACGUCAAAUCAUCAUGCCCCUUAUGACCUGGGCUACACACGUACUACAAUGGUCGGUACAACGGGAAGCGAAGCCGCGAGGUGGAGCCAAUCCUAAAAAGCCGAUCUCAGUUCGGAUUGCAGGCUGCAACUCGCCUGCAUGAAGUCGGAAUUGCUAGUAAUCGCGGAUCAGCAUGCCGCGGUGAAUA